rnacentral:rRNA from 1 species
GACGAACGCUGGCGGCGUGCUUAACACAUGCAAGUCGAACGGGCCUGUCUUCUUUUUUGGGGGGUGGGUUGAGUGGCGAACGGGUGAGUAUCACGUGAGUAACCUGCCCUUCGGUCCUGGAUAACCGCUUGAAAGGGCGGCUAAUACGGGGUGGUCCGGUUGGUCCGCAUGGGCUGGUCGGGAUAGAUUCACUGUUUUUGGUGUUUCGGCGGGGGAUGGGCUCGCGGCCUAUCAGCUUGUUGGUGGGGUGAUGGCCUACCAAGGCGGUGACGGGUAGCCGGCCUGAGAGGGUGGGCGGCCACACUGGGACUGAGAUACGGCCCAGACUCCUGCGGGAGGCAGCAGUGGGGGGUAUUGCACAAUGGGCGGAAGCCUGAUGCAGCGACGUCGCGUGAGGGAUGGAGGCCUUCGGGUCGUGAACCUCUGUUUCCGGUGGUGAAGGCCCUGUCCGUGUGGUGGGGUUGACGGUAGCCGGGGAUGAAGCGCCGGCUAACUACGUG